UUAGAGUUUGAUCCUGGCUCAAGACGAACUUUGGCGGCGCGCCUAACACAUGCAAGUCGAACGAGUGAGAGAGAGCUUGCUUUCUCGAGCGAGUGGCGAACGGGUGAGUAACGCGUGAGGAACCUGCCUCAAAGAGGGGGACAACAGUUGGAAACGACUGCUAAUACCGCAUAAGCCCACGGUGCCGCAUGGCACAGAGGGAAAAGGAGCAAUCCGCUUUGAGAUGGCCUCGCGUCCGAUUAGCUAGUUGAUGAGGUAACGGCCCACCAAGGCAACGAUCGGUAGCCGGACUGAGAGGUUGAACGGCCACAUUGGGACUGAGACACGGCCCAGACUCCUACGGGAGGCAGCAGUGGGGAAUAUUGCACAAUGGGGGAAACCCUGAUGCAGCGACGCCGCGUGGAGGAAGAAGGUCUUCGGAUUGUAAACUCCUGUUGUUGGGGAAGAUAAUGACGGUACCCAACAAGGAAGUGACGGCUAACUACGUGCCAGCAGCCGCGGUAAAACGUAGGUCACAAGCGUUGUCCGGAAUUACUGGGUGUAAAGGGAGCGCAGGCGGGAAGACAAGUUGGAAGUGAAAUCUAUGGGCUCAACCCAUAAACUGCUUUCAAAACUGUUUUUCUUGAGUAGUGCAGAGGUAGGCGGAAUUCCCGGUGUAGCGGUGGAAUGCGUAGAUAUCGGGAGGAACACCAGUGGCGAAGGCGGCCUACUGGGCACCAACUGACGCUGAGGCUCGAAAGUGUGGGUAGCAAACAGGAUUAGAUACCCUGGUAGUCCACACCGUAAACGAUGAUUACUAGGUGUUGGAGGAUUGACCCCUUCAGUGCCGCAGUUAACACAAUAAGUAAUCCACCUGGGGAGUACGACCGCAAGGUUGAAACUCAAAGGAAUUGACGGGGGCCCGCACAAGCAGUGGAGUAUGUGGUUUAAUUCGACGCAACGCGAAGAACCUUACCAAGUCUUGACAUCCCUUGACAGGCAUAGAAAUAUGUAUUCUCUUCGGAGCAAGGAGACAGGUGGUGCAUGGUUGUCGUCAGCUCGUGUCGUGAGAUGUUGGGUUAAGUCCCGCAACGAGCGCAACCCUUAUGGUCAGUUACUACGCAAGAGGACUCUGGCCAGACUGCCGUUGACAAAACGGAGGAAGGUGGGGAUGACGUCAAAUCAUCAUGCCCUUUAUGACUUGGGCUACACACGUACUACAAUGGCGUUAAACAAAGAGAAGCAAGACCGCGAGGUGGAGCAAAACUCAGAAACAACGUCCCAGUUCGGACUGCAGGCUGCAACUCGCCUGCACGAAGUCGGAAUUGCUAGUAAUCGUGGAUCAGCAUGCCACGGUGAAUACGUUCCCGGGCCUUGCAC
rnacentral:rRNA from 1 species